rnacentral:rRNA from 1 species
GACGAACGCUGGCGGCGUGCUUAACACAUGCAAGUCGAACGGUGAAGGUGGAGCUUGCUCCGCCGGAUCAGUGGCGAACGGGUGAGUAACACGUGGGCAACCUGCCCCAGACUUCGGGAUAACUCCUCGAAAGAGGCGCUAAUACCGGAUACGAGUUCUGCAGGCAUCUGCGGAAUUGGAAGGUUUUUCGGUCUGGGAUGGGCCCGCGGCCUAUCAGCUUGUUGGUGAGGUAACGGCUCACCAAGGCGACGACGGGUAGCCGGCCUGAGAGGGCGACCGGCCACACUGGGACUGAGACACGGCCCAGACUCCUACGGGAGGCAGCAGUGGGGAAUAUUGCGCAAUGGGCGAAAGCCUGACGCAGCAACGCCGCGUGCGGGAUGAAGGCCUUCGGGUUGUAAACCGCUUUCAGCAGGGAAGAAGCGAAAGCGACGGUACCUGCAGAAGAAGCACCGGCUAACUACGUGCCAGCCGCCGCCGUAA